GACAAAAAGAAGAGACUGAGCUACUUACGCCCAGUUCCUUCUUUCAAACUCACUAGCUGGUACAGCUUCUGAUUUCACUGACUCACAGUGAAGCCUGAAAUAAACACAUUUCCUUGGCAUGGUGGUGUGGUCAAGUUCUGGUCCAUUAAAAGUGAAGUGUGGCAACUUCUUUUUAAGAGCGGGUUGAGAAAGAACCAUUGGACACCAGCCGUUGACUUCUCAGUGUUGCACGUGGGUCACCUGGAAUGCUUUGUGAUCCCACCGUCUGGCAGGAACCCAGAGCGAGAGCACCAGCGUCCAGAGUUCUUCUGGUGAUUCUCAUGUGUAGCCAAUUUUGGGGACAGAGUAACUGCCUGAAAGCCUCCU